UCUGCCUGAAGUUUAACCUGCACCAUAAGUGAAAUCAGAAUGGAAGAAGCAGGGGCUUUCUGUUCACCUUUGGUCUGUGUUUGCUAUCAGCAAUAUUGAUUAAAGAUUACAUGUCAGGCCAUAUGCAAGCAAUUUUACAGGGAAUAUCCAUCAUGCUUUGGUGUAAUGGACUCGUCUGGGAUCGCUCGGCAGGCACUCCUCCCGCGGAUGAGACUCAGACGGAGAGCCGGCAUGAAUCAAAGGAGAUGAGGAGAAGAAAACUCAUUUGCUCAUUUCACCCGCAGCAAGGCUGGCUAUAGUUAUAGGUAAUAAGGUGGUAGAUAGUAUCAUUAUAUCAAAAGGAUAUGAGGGAUGAAAGUAUUACAGCCUCACUCUACACUCUGUAUCGUCCUGUAUCACUCCUCCUGUAGUGGCCUAAUGGAUAAAUCUGGGCUUGAAAACGCAGGGCGGGGAAAAACGGAGGACGAAAAUCGCUUCGUAGCAUUCAAGGACGCAAAUCUUUUUUUCCUUCUUACAAUGCAAUUCUGUGGAUUUUUAUCACUAAGGGCUAUGACUUUAAAACCUUUUUAUGAGGUUUGGAUGACCACAGGAUCACUGUCUGAUUGAGCUGUUGGGUUUUUUUUGUGUGUGCAUGUGUUCCUUUUUUUUUUCUUCUUUUAGAUGAAAAGCAUUUGCCAAAAAAAAGACUGCCCUCCAUUAGAAGAAAAAACAACAAGAAAAAAAAACUGACUUUGUAGGUUUAUUCCAAAAGAGGAGAGGGAUUAAAAAAGCAGCAAAGAAUGGUUAUAAAAGCAUGGCAGCCUUAUGAUUUAGUGGCGCAAUAAAGAAUGGAAAGGUGGCCAUUCAUCAUGGAAGCGAGCUCACCAGGAGAGGAGUCUGUCACACACACACACACACACACACACACGAAAAUAUUAACCCCUAAAACUAACUCGGACCAAAGCCUUUUUUCAUACACACCCGCAGAUGGAUGAAGUGGUGCAUCCUGGGAGCUCGGCUCCGAUACACGGCAUCUGAUCUGUCCUGAAUGAACUGCCAGAUUUAUAGAAUUUUUUAAAAACUUGACAUACUGCGGCCUUUUUGGUAAGACCUUUAUAGUCGUCCAUCGGUAUUGAUUUCGGUGAUUGCAAGACAUUCUUCGUUGUCUGAUUUAAACUUUAAUUCGACAUGAACGGAUCCUGAUGCAUACAGCAUUACACAGGAAUGAAAUUUAUAAAACUAUGUGAGCAGGUGAAGAAAAGUAAAAUCUAGAUCAGAGAUAAUUACAGAAUCACAGAUCAAUCAUGGAAAAGAAUAUA